UUGGGUUGGCUCAGCGGUUAGACCGCAGGUCUCGUAACCGAAAGGUUGCGGGAUCGAAUCCCGCUAGAGGCUGAAA
rnacentral:tRNA from 1 species